GGCGGGGUAGCUCAGCUGGUUAGAGCAACGGAAUCAUAAUCCGUGUGUCGUGGGUUCAACUCCCUCCCUCGCUACCA
rnacentral:tRNA from 1 species